rnacentral:rRNA from 1 species
UACGAAGGGGGCUAGCGUUGCUCGGAAUGACUGGGCGUAAAGGGCGCGUAGGCGGAGUGCUUUGUCGGGCGUGAAAAUCCAGGGCUCAACCUUGGGACUGCGUUCGAGACGGGCAUUCUAGAGUUCGGAAGAGGGUCGUGGAAUUCCCAGUGUAGAGGUGAAAUCGUAGAUAUUGGGAAGAACACCGGUGGCGAAGGCGACUUCCUGGCCUGUUCUUGACCGCUGAGGCGCGAAAGCUAGGGGAGCAAACGGG